UUGUGCGGAGCCGUGGACAUGUGCUGCUCUCCUUCCUCCUCGUCUCUUUUAUCCAUCCAUCCAGCGCCCUCCCACCCAUCUGUGCUUCUCUCCUUCCUCUUCUCUCUAUCCGUGGCUCGCGCACACAACACACCACGCACCCUUCUACUCCGGUCCAUGGUGCCACGUUCUCCUCUCUCUUCCCUCCUCCACAUCGCAAAGCACCACCCCUCCCUCCCUCCCCGCCCCUGGAGUUCGUUCUGUUGACCCCAUCUCUCUCUUCUCCUUCACCGACGUGACCACCCCCAUCUGCAACAGCUGGACGAUUCGAUUUCCCAGGCCGUCUCGCCCGUGACCGAUGGCUGCUUCGCGUUCGUCGGUCGGUUGCGGUGCGGCCGCAUAUGGGCUCCUAGUGACCGGGCUUGCGCGCGGGGGAGGGGGGUUGGCUGGGCCUGUGGUGGAGCCGCGACAGUGGUGGCCUGCUUCAGGGUCGAGCUCGGCGGCAGCUUGAUGGGGCCGCAUGGAUCUGCGUCGGGGCUCCAGGCUCCGGAUCGGCGUGGUCGUGUCCAGCCCGCCCUCCUCCACCGGUGCCUUGCUGUGGCGUUCCGGGCCAGAUCUCGGAUGGCUUGAGGGGCGGCUUGGAUCGUGGCCUAUGUAGUGUGGCUGACCUGGGACUGGUCCUGGGCGAGCAUGCACACGACGCUGCUGUUCGGCGAGUGGAGGUGCCACGGGGAGUGGCGCUGCCUUUCUGAGGACAGGGCAACUUCGACGGCGAGCUGGACGCGUGGGCGUCGUUCCUGCCAGGUGGCGUCCUCCUGCGGCGGCGCCGCGGUCACCGCGCAGCCGGACUAGAAGGCGACCGGUGAAAGCUUUGCACGACGGAGCCGUCGCGACUGACUUGGACGCCUGGCGCCAGCGGCGACGGCCUCGAGGCUCUUGGAGACGCCAAGCCACGCCUGGCCCUUUCCUCGAGCCUCCUAUCGCGCCCGAGUGGAUCUCCCGAGGCAGCCUCAUCCGCCUUCGGGCGCCGCCGGUAAGCAGAGCCGUCGUCCGUGGGCUCCCGCAAGCUCAGACCGCUGCGACCAGCCAGACGCGCGGUGGUGAGCCAGUCCAGUAAGAGAUAAGGGUCGCGGCCAUAAAUUUCUAAUAAAUGCAGGGGGUUUACGCAAAA